rnacentral:lncRNA from 1 species
CAGGCAGUGCCGAUGCUCCCACAGCAGUCCUCCUGCUUGGUGAGGCCGGGCAGGGGGUUGCUGCCACACUAUGGGGACGGGUGGCAGAGGAGUCACAGAGUACCAGACGCCACUCCCCUCCUACCUGAGGCCCUCCUCCCCAGCCUAUGGAUCCUCAGUUUUAUGUAAUGCUCAUGAGACCCUGAGAGAUGGCAGAGUGGUCCCCUGGGGACAGUGUAUUCACUUACUAGCUGCUUGGGCAGCGUGUCCUGGAAGCAGCGGCCCAGGGGUUUCUGGGAGAGUGGUCGUUGGUGCUGAGGCUUGGAGUGUGGCAGCAGGUGCUGGGAAGGGGCAGGGCCCUCGGCUUUUGGCCCCUCGAUGCGGUGCACCUGGACAGAGGCCUCAGGCGGGUGGUGGACUCGAACAUUCACCACGGGGGGCGGGGCCUGCACUGAGAGGGGCACGGUGGCCUCAGGGCUGCUCAGUGCCAGGGUCGCCCAGCUGGGCUGCUCCAAGGCUGGCCUCUGCCCAGAUCCAGCCCCAUGCCAGCCCCUCUCCCCCGCCCAGAAUUUGCCCUUUGCUUGGUACCUUCUGCUGAUAUCUGUCCUGGCCCCAGGGGCACCAGGAAAGCCGCAUGCUGGGCAGGAGGCCCCUCCCCCUGCCCAGGAGGAUCGGCGAUCACCUGCACCGCGUAGAUGGCAUGCUUGCUGGCCACGGACUCGCCCUCUGGAACCAGGGGCUGCAGGGUGCCUGUGGACCCCGCCCGGGCCAGCCCUGGACCUGAGCCUCCUCCUGCACCGCCAGCUCCUCCAGCAGGCACCUGGCAGAAGCGGCCGGUGAAGUCGGGGGGACACAGGCACUGGUUUCGGGAGGAGCACUGGCCACCGUUCAUGCAGGGCAGAGGGCACACCACUGAGAAGGGGACAUGAGGUUCACAGCCAGGAAGCGCUGCCUGCCUAGCUGCACAGAACAGCACCUUUUUCUGCUGCCCCAAACCUCCAAUGAACUCAUCUCCCCUCCUCCCCAUGGCCCCCGCCCCUCCCCCAGCUCUUGCCAUGCCACCCAGACCCUCUGUCUCCCUGCUUCAUCCUACCUCUCCACAAUCCCAGCAUCCCCAGAGAAACCUACUUCAGGCAGAGCUCUGGCAGAACCCACACCAGCUCCAGACCUUGCUUGGACAUUCAAGGCUCUCCACAGCCCAGAACCCUACCAGGCCCCUCUGGUCUUUCCAUGUGCACUCUACAUCCCAGGGCUCACCUCCCUCCUGCCUGCCUUUCAUUCCACCCCAGGGCUCUGUCUCCCAUCUCCCCAUGUUCAAACCUGACCCUUCUGAGCUCAGCUUCUUCCCCAGGAAGGGAUCCCUUCUCACAUCCCACCUACCAUGUUCACUCUCCUGAGUUUCCUUGCUUAGUUAUAGUCAUGUCAGUCUCCCCCACUCUAUAGGGUACUUUGGAG